GACGAACGCUGGCGGCGUGCUUAACACAUGCAAGUCGAACGGAAAGGCCCUGCUUUUGUGGGGUGCUCGAGUGGCGAACGGGUGAGUAACACGUGAGUAACCUGACCUUGACUUUGGGAUAACUUCAGGUAACUGGGGCUAAUACCGGAUAGGAGCUCCUGCUGCAUGGUGGGGGUUGGAAAGUUUCGGCGGUUGGGGAUGGACUCGCGGCUUAUCAGCUUGUUGGUUGGGUAGUGGCUUACCAAGGCUUUGACGGGUAGCCGGCCUGAGAGGGUGACCGGCCACAUUGGGACUGAGAUACGGCCCAGACUCCUACGGGGGGCAGCAGUGGGGAAUAGUGCACAAUGGGCGGAAGCCUGAUGCAGCAACGCCGCGUGCGGGAUGACGGCCUUCGGGUUGUAAACCGCUUUCGCCUGUGACGAAGCGUGAGUGACGGUAAUGGGUAAAGAGGCACCGGCUAACUACGUG
rnacentral:rRNA from 1 species